rnacentral:rRNA from 1 species
GACGAACGCUGGCGGCGUGCUUAACACAUGCAAGUCGAACGGAAAGGCCCUGCUUGCAGGGUACUCGAGUGGCGAACGGGUGAGUAACACGUGGGUGAUCUGCCCUGCACUUCGGGAUAAGCCUGGGAAACUGGGUCUAAUACCGGAUAGGAGCCAUUUUUAGUGUGAUGGUUGGAAAGUUUUUUCGGUGUAGGAUGAGCUCGCGGCCUAUCAGCUUGUUGGUGGGGUAAUGGCCUACCAAGGCGGCGACGGGUAGCCGGCCUGAGAGGGUGGACGGCCACAUUGGGACUGAGAUACGGCCCAGACUCCUACGGGAGGCAGCAGUGGGGAAUAUUGCACAAUGGGCGCAAGCCUGAUGCAGCGACGCCGCGUGGGGGAUGACGGCCUUCGGGUUGUAAACUCCUUUCGCUAGGGACGAAGCUUUUUGUGACAGUACCUAGAUAAGAAGCACCGGCUAACUACGU